GGAGGGUGCGAGCGUUGUUCGGAAUCACUGGGCGUAAAGGGCGUGUAGGCGGUCCGCUAAGUCUGAUGUGAAAGCCCGGGGCUCACCCCCGGAAGGGCAUUGGAAACUGACGGACUCGAGUCCCGAAGAGGAGGGUGGAAUUCCUGGUGUAGCGGUGAAAUGCGUAGAUAUCAGGAGGAACACCGGUGGCGAAGGCGGCCCUCUGGACGGUGACUGACGCUGAGACGCGAAAGCGUGGGGAGCAAACAGGAUUAGAUACCCUGGUAGUCCACGCUGUAAACGAUGAGCACUAGGUGUCGUGGGUAUUGACCCCCGCGGUGCCGCAGCUAACGCAUUAAGUGCUCCGCCUGGGGACUACGGCCGCAAGGUUA
rnacentral:rRNA from 1 species